GCAACGCUCCCUCUUGGCUUUUUUUCUGAAACCUUCUUCACCUCUCACGAUAAACAGAAAUGGUAGCUCCCCCUUAAUCACUCUCUGCUCUCCCGUCCUCGAUGCUCACUCUCCGACAGCAACAACACUCGGAUGUCUCACUUUGUCUCUCCGCGAACAAAACAAGCAACAAAGCUCUCUCACCAGCAACAAGCAUCUCGCGGCCUCCUUCUCUCGGUGUUCAUCUCUCGCGAGCAACAACAACGGCGGCCAUGGAGGAGCUUGCCGGAAAUCAUAGGAACCACCUUUCAAUCUGUAACCCAAUUUCACUCACAAACAGAAGUGAAAACUCAGAAUAUACACAAUCAAUAAAGAACAGCAAAAAUUGAGUGUGAAAGUAGAAGUGACUUACUUGCGGCAAGGAGGUUUUUGCCGGAUUUUGUUCAGCAACAAUAACAGCCUUCAAAUUUUUUCCAGUGGCCCGAUUUGUUUCACGAACAGAGAGAAAUAGCAACAACAAUAUUGAGGGUAAGAGUGAAAUUAACUUACCUACGGCGAGGAGGUUUUCGCCGGAUUUUGUUGAGGGCUCUUUGAUGAAGAUGACCACCACCUCUCUUUGGAUAUUAGGGAGACUUGAAGAUGGCCUUCAAGUUGGAACUCUCCACCAAGGUAUGAAGAAUUUCUUCUUCACUCCCCUCUUUCAAGAAACUUUGUAACUAGAAACUCUUAUUUUUUUCAAGUAGUUUUCUUUGGUUUGAAGAAUUUCUCCUUCUUACCAAGAAACAUGAAAACUAUAAGAGAAGAGGGAGAAAUGAGAAAGCUAGUAAUAUAGUAGCUUUGGUGUGAUUUGCAAUGAAAUGAGGCCUUCUAUUUAUAGGAAAAGUUAAGGGCAUGUUUGGAUGAUAAUAAACUUGAUUGGCAAAUUGUAAUGAUUGCAAGAAUAUUCUUCAUGAGAUAUUUCUUAUGCAAGUGGGAAAAAAAAUCUCUCUUUGAUCUCUUUUUUGUCUUGAAAUUAUUCUUUUGUUAAAUACACCCCUUUUUGUCUUGAAUUAUUCUUUUGCUAAAUUCACCCCUCUUAUGUUUCUUUUUCAUGUUGCAUGAGGACUUUGAAGAAAGCAUGAAGAAGCUUGAACUUGAAGGAUGGAGAUUUGAAGAAUUCAAGAAUUGCAUUUGAAGUUUUAUUUUUUUCUUUUCCUUGUAAUUCCAACUUUGUAUGAAUGAA